rfam:Ornithorhynchus anatinus chromosome 3, whole genome shotgun sequence.
ACCUUCUCAGGGUCACACCUGGAGAGUUUCCAGUCCUCUACCAGUCUUGGCUAUGAGAGGGAAAGUCAAGCAGAGGCCUGUCCAUUCCAUUCCUAGCUUGGGCAGUGGCUUUCGAGUGGAAGGGAAUCUGCUACAACU